AAUGAUUCAGAAAUAUCAGAACUAGAGUCUACUGCAACAUCUGGUAUCAAGAGGUGUAAGUUAGAGGCAAUUCAUGCUCUUAAAGACGAAAUUAGGGAAAUAAAUCAGUGUCUUAUUGACACUGUUAUUGAUAUUAGUGAGGAAUAAAGUGUUGUAGUAGCUGCUGCUAAAGGAGAUGAAGGGACCAUUGUCAAGUGCUCUUUCAGCGCCGUGGCACUCAGUCCAAAGAUGAAAUUGCAAUAUGCUUCAGCACAGAUGUCUCCAAUACAGCCAUUAAGGUUGCUUGUCCCCACAAAUUAUCCCAAAUGUUCCCCAAUACUAUUGGACGUAUUUCCAGUGGAAGUCAGGUAAGGGAAAAAUCACACCAAAUCCUCUCAAAUAACACGGAAAAGUUUUUAGUUGAUGUUGUGAUAGUUGAUGUGUAUCUCUUGGAGAACUUUUUGUUCAGAAAAAUGUAGUUUGAAAAGCUAUUUGUGACAUAAGAACUUUCAUAUUCCAAUUUGGCUGAAUAUAAAUGAAAAUGAAACUUCUCCAAGCUCAAUUCUUUGAAUAUAAAUGAAAAUAGUAUGCCUCUUUUUUUCGUUUUUCUUUUUGGCUAUGUAAGGUUUAGUUAUGAUUGUUAAAUUGAUUUAUGAAGGUAGGCUGUCAAUCUCAUUGUAACUUUGUCUUGAACAGGAAAAACAUACCGUCUACGGGUGCAUAAUGUCGGUAUCUCAACUAAUUUUGACAGGAAUUCACCACAGUAGUUAGUUGUGUGAGCGGAAAGCAAUAAUUUGAUUCAAAGUUUCGAUUUUGAAUUUUUCUUGCAAACGUUUCAUCUGGGUAUCAAUAUAGUUUCGAUUUUAGUCACCAUAAUUGCUUAAUAUGGUUUUUUUUUUCUGGGUUAUUGAUCUCUUAUGUAAUUGAAGUUAAUUUUAUUGCCUCUGAACUUAUAUUUAUGUGAAUUUCCAUUUAUUAAUGCAGCAUUUUGAUUCAUAUCUUGUUAAUGAAUUUUCAUAAUUUAAUCCGAUAAAAAUCAAUUUUUUA